rnacentral:rRNA from 1 species
GACGAACGCUGGCGGCGUGCCUAAUACAUGCAAGUCGAACGAACCGCGACUAAGUGCUUGCACUCAGUCAAGGUGAGUGGCGAACGGGUGAGUAACACGUGGGUAACCUACCUCAUAGUUGGGGAUAACAGUCGGAAACGACUGCUAAUACCGCAUAGGACAUAGGAUCACAUGAUCCAGUGAGGAAAGGUGGCGCAAGCUAUCGCUAAGAGAUGGACCCGCGGUGCAUUAGCUAGUUGGUAGGGUAAAGGCCUACCAAGGCGAUGAUGCAUAGCCGACCUGAGAGGGGGAUCGGCCACAUUGGAACUGAGACACGGCCCAAACUCCUACGGGAGGCAGCAGUAGGGAAUCUUCCGCAAUGGACGCAAGUCUGACGGAGCAACGCCGCGUGAGUGAAGAAGGUCUUCGGAUCGUAAAGCUCUGUUGUUAGAGAAGAACAGCGCAUAGAGUAACUGCUAUGCGUGUGACGGUAUCUAACCAGAAAGCCACGGCUAACUACGUG